AGAACGAGUCCACUGUACCUACAUGGGGGAUUCUUGGCUUAUCUGCAGCGUGAUAUACUGGACUACUUUGGAUCACACAGAAAUAUGAACCACCUACUUUAUGUAUCUUGUGACCACUAAUACCUCGUUGACCCAGCUCAUUUUGAGCUUAUUCUUUUAAGAUUCAGUUGGUGGCUGGCUGGAUCUAAUGCAGAAAUAUGGCAAAAGUGCAUAGUGUAACAAAGC